rnacentral:rRNA from 1 species
UACGUAGGGUGCAAGCGUUGUCCGGAAUUAUUGGGCGUAAAGAGCUCGUAGGCGGUUAGUCGCGUCUGCUGUGAAAACUCGGGGCUUAACCCUGGGCCUGCAGUGGGUACGGGCUGACUAGAGUACUGCAGGGGAGACUGGAAUUCCUGGUGUAGCGGUGGAAUGCGCAGAUAUCAGGAGGAACACCGGUGGCGAAGGCGGGUCUCUGGGCAGUAACUGACGCUGAGGAGCGAAAGCGUGGGGAGCGAACAGG